UUUUAUCACCCUUUCUACUUAAAGCACCUUUAUUUCCGGUUGAAUCAACCAAAAGGGGAAAGCAACACGGCCAAGCGGUUUCCUGACAAAGGGUUCAACCCAAGGGAAAUUGGGAUAGGUUUUUGUCCCCAAUUGGGGAGGGGCCGAAGUUUUAUACUAAAAAUUACCUUGAGGAAACGGUGGGGGCGGCCCCCCGGGGGCCCCCAAAAAGAAAAGAUUUAACCCGAUGGAUUGGGAUAUGGGGGUGGAGAGCAAGUAACACCAGCCCCCCGGUUACAUAAAAAGCCCAGAAAAAAACUCAACGGUUUUCCUUUGUCAGGCCAAAAACGCGAAAAAGGAGAGAGUAAUAUUGGUCCCCUCGGGUUUGAGGGAGAAUUGCAAAGCAGUCCGGGCGCCCCCCCUUUAAAAUGCUCUUCAAAAAACAUCUGGACGGCGCCUCCUUUUUUAAAAAGAAGUUUUUUUUAAAAAAUUUAUAUAUAUUUUUUUCCCCCCCCCGGACAACGCCCGUCGCUACUACCGAUGGAAUGGCUCGGUGAGGCCUUCGGACUGGCGCAGGAGGGUUGGCAACGACCCCCCCGCGCCGGAAAGUUGGUCAAACCCGGUCAUUUAGAGGAAGUAAAAGUCGUAACAAGGUUUCCGUAGGUGAACCUGCGGAAGGAUCAUUACCGAGUGCGGGCUGCCUCCGGGCGCCCAACCUCCCACCCGUGACUACCUAACACUGUUGCUUCGGCGGGGAGCCCUCUCGGGGGCGAGCCGCCGGAACUAUGAACUUCAUGCCUGAGAGUGAUGCAGUCUGAGUCUGAAUAUAAAAUCAGUCAAAACUUUCAACAAUGGAUCUCUUGGUUCCGGCAUCGAUGAAGAACGCAGCGAACUGCGAUAAGUAAUGUGAAUUGCAGAAUUCAGUGAAUCAUCGAGUCUUUGAACGCACAUUGCGCCCCCUGGCAUUCCGGGGGGCAUGCCUGUCCGAGCGUCAUUGCUGCCCAUCAAGCCCGGCUUGUGUGUUGGGUCGUCGUCCCCCCCGGGGGACGGGCCCGAAAGGCAGCGGCGGCACCGUGUCCGGUCCUCGAGCGUAUGGGGCUUUGUCACCCGCUCGAUUAGGGCCGGCCGGGCGCCAGCCGACGUCUCCAACCAUUCUUCAGGGUGACCUCGGAUCGAGGUAGGAACGUGCC
rnacentral:rRNA from 1 species